rnacentral:piRNA from 1 species
UAGGACCAGUCUCAAGUGAGAUGCAG